rnacentral:rRNA from 1 species
GAGGAAUAUUGGUCAAUGGGUGCAAGCCUGAACCAGCCAUCCCGCGUGAAGGACGACUGCCCUAUGGGUUGUAAACUUCUUUUGUAUAGGGAUAAACCUACCCUCGUGAGGGUAGCUGAAGGUACUAUACGAAUAAGCACCGGCUAACUCCGUGCCAGCAGCCGCGGUAAUACGGAGGGUGCAAGCGUUAUCCGGAUUUAUUGGGUUUAAAGGGUCCGUAGGCGGACUUAUAAGUCAGUGGUGAAAGCCUGUCGCUUAACGAUAGAACUGCCAUUGAUACUGUAAGUCUUGAGUAUAUUUGAGGUAGCUGGAAUAAGUAGUGUAGCGGUGAAAUGCAUAGAUAUUACUUA